ensembl:lncRNA
CCCAGAACCUGUGAACAUGUGACCUUAUUUGGAAAUAGGGUCUUGCAGAUGUAAUCACAUUAUGAUGGGGUCACAAUGGAUGAGGGUGGGCCCUAAAUCCAACACCUGGUGUCCUUACAAGAAGAGGGAAGUUUGGACACGGAGAGACACAGACACACAGGCAGAAUGCCAUGCGAUGACAGAGGCAGAGAUCUGAGUGAUGUGUCUACAAACCAAGCAACGUCAAGGACUGCCAGCAGCCCCAGAAGCUGGAAGAGGCAGGAAGAAUCCUCCCUGAGGGCCUUCAGAGAGAGCGUGGCCCUGCUGGUGCCUUGAUUUUGGACUUCUGGCUUCUAGAAGUGUGCGAGAAUAAGGUUCUGUUGCUUGAAGCCACCUAGUCUGUGGUGCUUUGUUUUGACGGCCACAGGAAACCAGUAUUGGAGAUUUGGCCACCCCCGAGACAUGAAGUCAUUGGCAAGCUUGAAAUAUGGACACCUUAUCAUGAUUAAUCCUCUUCCACAUCUAUAAUUCAUAACGUUGAAGAGGAAGCGGAGGAAGAAAGAACUUUUGGAAAGGGUAAUGCUUUUAUGCAGCAAGCUUUGUUGAGUUUAUUUAAAGAUUAUGCAUAUUUUGUUUGCUUUUUAUGCCGUUAAAAUGUUCAGGGAGGGAAGAAAGUUGGAACAGCUUGAGAAAUAUCCGGCAGAAUUCCAUGGUACAAUGGAGAAACCAUCCAGAAAUCGAGAGCGGUCCUGCUAGAAUCAUCUGGGAGCAAGCUGGGAGGAGUCCUCAGGAGCUGCAGAAAGGACAGCUAAUGAAGAACACUGGGCUGGACACUGGGCAGAGUGGGUGACAAGCUCCUCAAAGCAUUCCUGACUAAGACAAUGUGCAAAAUAAGAAAUACAAAUGGCCAAUAGGAUAUGAAAAAAAUUCAGCUUCAAUGAUAAACAAAGGAAUGGAAUUUGGCAAAGAUGUUGAAAUGAUGAUCACACUGCGUGCUGGUAGGAUGUUGUGAGAUAAGUAUUCUCAUUUCCUGCUGGUGACAUUAUAAACUGGUACGGGGUUUCUCCAAAGAUGUGGAUGAAGCUAUGAAGAGCCUUCAAAAUAUUACUACCCUUUGACCAAGUAAUUUCACUCUUGGGAAUUAUCCAAAGGAAAUAGCAACAAGGACACAGACUUACAUGCAUUGUGAUCCAAACUCCGUAAGAAAGAAAAAAAAAGGUAUCUUCAUAGAUAUGUAGACUGCAGGAAAUAAGACAAAAACGUUUGGAAUUGUUAUCUCUUGUUUUGAGUGAUAUUUUGUUUUUUCUUUUUCAAAUUUUUUAGAAAGAACAUGUUUAUUUGGAAAUUAGGAAAACACAACAAAAGUCACUUAAAAGACUAAUACCACCGAAUGCUCACAUCUCUGUCCUUAGAAUUUUUCUACUUUUGUGGAAAUAACAGCCAAGUAUCUUCAGAGUCUUUGGUUACAGGUCUUUCUUUUCAUUUACUUUUAAAUUUCUCACUGAGAGACAGAAUUUACCAGAGUCAUCCUGUGAAACGCUGGGGGUGACUGCACACAUUCAUAUGCUAUUCGAACUGGAUGAUGGUCCUGGGAGGUAAGGAAAGAUGCUAUUAUCCCCAUUUUACUGUUAGGAAAGAAAAAGAAAGGAACUGGGUGUCUUCCUGAGAGUCAUUCUACCUGUGGGAGGCAGAGCUGGGGCCUGACACAGAUUCACUGAUUCUAAGCCCUGAGCUCCUGUUUCGACACCAGGAUUUCUAUCACGCACGGGAGAAACACACACCCAAUUAGAGCCACAGCUAAAAUUCCCUGUAAUUGCAAAAGAGAGCAAGGAGAGAAGCUGGUUUUAUGUCCAGACCGGAAAAGGGGGAGGGAGGCAACUGCAAGCUGCACAAAUUAUACACAUUCCAAAUGCUUAUUUAUACAAACCCCUCCACUCCACCCUCCACCCACGUCUGUAAUGUAACCAACAUGCAAAAACGAAAAUCUGUUUUUGAGCCAGGUGCCAAAAUAAUCAUUGUUAAUACAGAAUAAACAACAAGUACGUUAUAUUGUUUAGGUCUGCAUCGGGGACUUAGAAGCGUUUGGGAAUUAAAAUUGCGUUUGAUACAUAGGAUGCACAAAAUCACGUUUAUACAAAUGAUGGACAGAAUUUAUUCAAGUGGCUGUGUUCACAUGAGUUUCCAUUCUUUCCACUGACACGUGGUGCCACGACCAAAAUUUAAUUCUGGAAAUUAACUUUUCCCUUAGAGAUGGGUGGAACUGAGUAUACUGUGGGCUACAAUAUUCUUAAAUAAUAUUGUGUAUAUGAAAGAGAUGGUUAAUUAUGAGCAACAGUGGAGUUCUUUAAAACCGAACUAUACAUGACAGAAAGCUGGCAAAUUCCUCUUGAAAGUAACCAGGCACAUAAAAUUGUCUUCUGUGUCAAGUUUUCAGUGCCCCAGCCCACUUCCUGUGCAGCACGGCCCUGCGCGGACAGGGCGUGGGUGAGGAAGGCACUUGGCUUCUGGCCAUUGCUCCUGCCCUAACUAGUUGGCAGCCCUCCCCUCGCUAAACACCCAUGCAAAGCAAACUCAGACCCAUUAGAAGUAAGAGGGUGAGGAUAUUCCAUUUCUUCGUGGACCACUGCUUGAUUUUCGUUAAACUCACUCAGAUUUAUUUUACACCCUGGACACCUGAGUUUGCGCUUAUUUUCAAGUUGUCAAGGAAUCUUUUCAGAAAUGAAAAAACACGGCUGUUCUAUUUACAUAGACCUUUUAGUUUUCUUCUCACUCUCUCCCUGUAAGUUCUUUUCGCCCUCGUUUUCAAUUUAUUACCUUUUAAGUAUCCUUAAGUAGCAGAUGUUUAAACACCUUUUAAUCGGAGAAACUGCAAGUGUAAUUGCUGGGUUUGGCAGGAAGCAGGUCCCGGAGCCCCUGGCCGGCUGAUAGCUGUGUUCUGCAGGCAGUGGCAUCUCACCGUAGAAGCAGCGAGACCGGAUCGCAGCCUCCAGACAUCUUCUGGCAAGUUCUGGAGAAGUUUUGCAAUUAACCAGUGGAAUUGGCAUGAAUUGAAAGGAUGCGUAAGGAAAACAUCAGUUCCUGCUGUCAUACCGGCUUCAAGCUCCAGCACCAGAAACAACGACAACAGCCUCAUGGAGACUAUUUAACCAGCUCCUACAGCUGUGUACAGCAAACAUGGAUCUACUUUGCCAAGUCUUUUCCCAUGAUGCUGAUGCCUCCGCGCAGACCUUCUUGGUGAGGGGCACAGACACACGUCUGGUGACACUCCCUGGGCCCCCACUUGGACACCCCAGAGACAUUCCAGUGCACCAUGAGCAAAACGGAAUUGCCCCUCAAGCCUCACCCGCCAUCCUUAUGUGGCCUCCUACUGCCCUAUACCAAUCAACAGCCCACGCCACCUCCUGGACAUCCUCCCCUCCUUUUUUUCAGCUCCAUCGCUGUCUCUUUGCCCCUCCACCAUGCUGACCAGGACUGUUGCAAGAGACCCUCAACUGCUCUCCUUGCCUCCAUCCUCACCUCCUCGAAUUCCUUCUCUACACUUAAGCCACUGAGCCUUUUAAAAUGCAAAUCUGACUAUGUCACUCUUGGGGCCAAAAGCCACCCAUUGUGUCCAUUGGCCCUUUGGAUGAAAUUCAAAGCCAUAGUCCUGACUUCCUGGCCUGCACAACCUUGACUCCCUCCUCUUGGACCCUAUGUGUCAGCCCAGCCACUCUGAACUUCUUUCUAUAACUUCUGUGCUCACUCCCUUUGCCUGGAAACCACCUCCCCCCACUCCCCACUCUUCUACACCACCCGGGGGGAGCCUUGUCUAUGUUGUCCGUGUCCCGUCGUCACCCCCCAUCACGCCCCCACCGCCCCAGCUCAGUGUGAAUGCCCUUUCGUGAUCCCAUUAGAUGAUGUUGGGGGCUUCUGCUCUGUAUCCCAACUCCUCAAGCCCUACCCCCCUAAUAUAAUAAAAUUCAUGUCCGCUCUGUGUCCUGCCCUCACUUUACUAUAUGGAGUCUCUCUGAUCUGACUUUAAGAGAGGUUGCUGAUGGCUCUUAAACAGGACUCAGGGCCUCCUCUCUUCGACCUCUAAGUAUUGACGUCUGUAGGACCACGUUCUGAGGCCUCUUUUCUUCCCCAUCCAUUCUUUCCCCAGGUAAUUACCUUUUGCAGGUAAUUGCUUUUGGCUUUACAUGUAAUUAGGGUGACAGACCAUCCCCGUUUGCUGGGGACCGAGGGGUUUCCUGGAAUGUGGCACUUUAAGGGCUGAAAACGGGAAAGUCCUGGGCAAACUGGGAUGACGGGGUCACCCUAGUUACCAUCCAAUGCUGGCAAUCCCAAAAAUUCAUAUCUGCAGCCCAGUCUCUCCCCUGAGUGCCAGACAUGGGAAUUGAAUACUUAAUUGGCAUUUCCAUUGUGAUGUGUCAUUGGCAUCUCAAAGCUGAGGUGGCCCAGACAAGGCUGUGGUCCCAGAAAACCUCAUCCCACUGUCACCCAACUCACUAGACUCCACCCGUCCUCAAACAUGCCCAACUGCUUCCCAUCUCAGGACCUUUGCACCUGUCAUUUCUUCUACAGGAAACACCCUUCCCCUCCUCUUCUCUGUUAGCCACUGCUCUUCCUUCUAGUUUCAGCCUAAUUGCCACUUCUUCAUAGAGUCCUUUCUGGACCUAAAGCAGCCCACUUCCCUAUUCCAUCAUAUCACCUGGCUUAUAUUUCUCAUGGCACUUACAACCGGAAAUGAUCUUAUUCAUGGCAUUGCUUACUUGUUUACUGUGGUUCUCUCUCCCUCUACCUGCCUGCCCUCUCUAGGAUGCAAACCCAUGAAGGGAGGGCUUUUGUCCUGUUCAUCUACAAGAGUGCCUGGCUCACAGCAGGCUCAAAAAUUUUGAUGCAUGGAAGAAUUAAUCAAUAUAUUGGAAUAAGAAUGUGUUUGAGAGGCGAAACUGAGCAAUUUUCCUAAAACAAGUUCUGUGUCGGAGUAUAUUAUUCACUGACAAAAUGUUCCCAUUUUUCCCCAUUUUAUUUAAUUAUGCAUCCUCUGUCUCGUGUCUUGACAGGGCAGUUGAUGGUGCAACAGAGCAUUUCCUCGCAGGGUAUUGAUGCAGAGAGCAAAUUGGGAGAAAAUUUGUUGUUAACCCUGGAAAAUAUUCAACAUUUUACUUCAUGACUUGGAGUAAAUGCUCAUGAAUUUUUUUUAAGACUUUACUUUUUAGAGCAGCUUUGGGUUCACAGCAAAAUCAAAGGAAGGUACAGAGAUUUCCCAUUUACCUCCUGCCUCUACACAUGCGUAGCCCGCCAAUUAUCCACAUCCCCACCAGACUGGUUCCUUUGUUACAAUCGAUGAACCUGCAUUGACUCAACAGAAUCACCCAAGUCCAUAGUUUACAUUGGGUUUCCCUCUGGGUGUUGUACAUUCUAUAAUUUGGACUAAUGGGUGAUAAUAUGUAUCCAUCACUAUGUUACCAAAUGGAAUGUUUUCACUGUAUCCUUUGCUCUGCCUAUUUAUCCCUCCCUCACUCCUUUAACCCCGGGAAGGCACUCAUCUUUUCACUGUGUCCAUAGUUUUGCCUUUCCCAAAAUGUCAUAUAUUUGGAAUCAUGCAGUAUGCAGCCUUUUCAGAGUGGCUUCUCUCAGUAAUAUGCAUUUAAGGUUCCUCCAUGUUUUUUCAUGGCUUGAUAGCUAUUUCUUUUUGGCAUUGAAAAAUAUGCCAUUGCCUGGAUGGACCCCAGUUUGUCCAUUCACCUACUGAAUUUUGCAUUCCCACCAGCAAGGCAUGAGAGUUCCUUUGCUCCACAUCCUCACCAGCAUGCGGCGCUGUCAGUGGUCCAGAUUUUGACUAUUCUAAUAGGCACCACGGCUCGAGGACGCUCAUGUGCAACCCUGUGUGGGAUACCCCAUGCUGUUUAAAGUGCGUUUGCAAAGAGGACCAGCAUCUGUAAUGAUCUGUCUUGCAAAAAAGAAGAAAGAAAGAAAGGAGGACAAUUUUGUAAAUGCCUUUCUUGGAAAUUUUCACAAGACUACAGUGUUUUGUCUAAUUUGAAUUGUUCACUGCACUUCCUGGUUUGAAAUUAUGGGAAGAGCAUGGAAAUGCAAUCUGCCCGACUCUCUC